UGUCUCAUUUCAGAGUCAGCACGUUAGGAAAAAUAACCAAGUAUGCAGCCAGAAGAAGUCUGAGAAGCCAACCAGAAACAGCAAGAAUACCUGGAACCAGCAUUUUUGGUACCGCUGCAAAAAGAAGAUCUGACACUAUCACACACUACAAGGAACCAAAUAUGACGUUUAUUUAUGCUUUCCAAGUCAGCCGAAACAACGAGCAACUUCCUCCUCCAAAGGUUUCCUUUUCUCUCACCUUCUUUGUGGCAAGCCUGUGGAGAAGGUGGGUGUGGAUGUGGGGACAUGUUUAAAGGCAGAUGAAAAAAUAAAAGGUGGGAGAAGCUA